AGCAUGGUGACAUGGUAUGAGUGUUGGACUAGGACUCCGGGAGACCAGGGUUCAAAUCCCUUCUGAGCUA